UACGUAGGGGGCAAGCGUUGUCCGGAAUCAUUGGGCGUAAAGCGCGUGUAGGCGGCUCGGUAAGUCCGCUCUGAAAGUCCGGGGCUCAACCCCGGGAGGCGGGUGGAUACUGUCGAGCUCGAGUCCGGAAGAGGCGAGUGGAAUUCCUGGUGUAGCGGUGAAAUGCGCAGAUAUCAGGAGGAACACCGAUGGCGAAGGCAGCUCGCUGGGACGGAACUGACGCUGAGACGCGAAAGCGUGGGGAGCAAACAGG
rnacentral:rRNA from 1 species